GAUGAACGCUGGCGGCGUGCCUAAUACAUGCAAGUCGAGCGAACAGAUGAGAAGCUUGCUUCUCUGAUGUUAGCGGCGGACGGGUGAGUAACACGUGGGUAACCUACCUAUAAGGCUAGGAUAACUCCGGGAAACCGGGGCUAAUACCGGAUAAUAUUUUGAACCGCAUGGUUCAAUAGUGAAAGACGGUUUCGGCUGUCACUUAUAGAUGGACCCGCGCCGUAUUAGCUAGUUGGUAAGGUAACGGCUUACCAAGGCGACGAUACGUAGCCGACCUGAGAGGGUGAUCGGCACACUGGAACUGAGACACGGUCCAGACUCCUACGGGAGGCAGCAGUAGGGAAUCUUCCGCAAUGGGCGAAAGCCUGACGGAGCAACGCCGCGUGAGUGAUGAAGGUCUUCGGAUUGUAAAACUCUGUUGUUAGGGAAGAACAAAUUUGUUAGUAACUGAACAAGUCUUGACGGUACCUAACCAGAAAGCCACGGCUAACUACGUGCCAGCAGCCGCGGUAA
rnacentral:rRNA from 1 species